rnacentral:rRNA from 1 species
UACGUAGGCAGCGAGCGUUGUUCGGAGUUACUGGGCGUAAAGGGUGUGUAGGCGGCCUAUUAAGUUUGGUGUGAAAUCUCCCGGCUCAACCGGGAGGGUGCGCCGAAAACUGGGAGGCUAGAGUGCGGGAUGGGAGAGUGGAAUUCCUGGUGUAGCGGUGAAAUGCGUAGAUAUCAGGAGGAACACCGGUGGUGAAGACGGCUCUCUGGACCGUAACUGACGCUGAGACACGAAAGCGUGGGUAGCAAACAGG